AAUAUGGUCUGGAACGCAUAAAUUUGUGGUCUUAUUUGGAGACAAAGUGGUAGGUUUAUACAUUCUUCAUUCAUGUGAUCAACAAUUAUCCACUAUACAACAUAUAGUAUAUUAUAUGAAGUGGGGUGAGCUGAAUUUGGACGGACUAAAAUUACUGAAUUAAUAAAUGUCAGGUUAUUGAUUUUUAUUGCAUGAUUUGUCCAUCAAACAGCCACCAUCUUCCCAAACUUAAACUCCUUCCAUGAAAAUACAGAUCUGAUGGUGACAGAGGACGCAGUGAAUUUCAGCAGCAGAAAUUUCCUCAAGUUUGAACACAUUUUCUUAUUUUUUUCCCUUCUUCCUCCUCAAUUUAGUUUGACAAAAAAAAAUAAUCCAUAUCUUACUUCUUCCUUUAUUUUUAGAAUUUGAAGCACUUAAAAAGAGAUAGGUAUUGAUGGAGGAACGCA